GCUGCUGUAGUCUAGUGGUAAAGACGCCGCUCCAUAGUGCCGAAUGCUACUGUGGCUUUAGCUGGAGGUCGCCGGUUCGAUUCCGGCCAGUGGCA